rnacentral:rRNA from 1 species
AUGAACGCUAGCUACAGGCUUAACACAUGCAAGUCGAGGGGCAUCAGGAAGAAAGCUUGCUUUCUUUGCUGGCGACCGGCGCACGGGUGAGUAACACGUAUCCAACCUGCCCUUUACUCGGGGAUAGCCUUUCGAAAGAAAGAUUAAUACCCGAUAGCAUAAUGAUUCCGCAUGGUUUCAUUAUUAAAGGAUUCCGGUAAAGGAUGGGGAUGCGUUCCAUUAGGUUGUUGGUGAGGUAACGGCUCACCAAGCCUUCGAUGGAUAGGGGUUCUGAGAGGAAGGUCCCCCACAUUGGAACUGAGACACGGUCCAAACUCCUACGGGAGGCAGCAGUGAGGAAUAUUGGUCAAUGGGCGGUAGCCUGAACCAGCCAAGUAGCGUGAAGGAUGAAGGCUCUAUGGGUCGUAAACUUCUUUUAUAUAAGAAUAAAGUGCAGUAUGUAUACUGUUUUGUAUGUAUUAUAUGAAUAAGGAUCGGCUAACUCCGUGCCAGCAGCCGCGGUAAUACGGAGGAUCCGAGCGUUAUCCGGAUUUAUUGGGUUUAAAGGGAGCGUAGGUGGACUGGUAAGUCAGUUGUGAAAGUUUGCGGCUCAACCGUAAAAUUGCAGUUGAUACUGUCAGUCUUGAGUACAGUAGAGGUGGGCGGAAUUCGUGGUGUAGCGGUGAAAUGCUUAGAUAUCACGAAGAACUCCGAUUGCGAAGGCAGCUCACUGGACUGCAACUGACACUGAUGCUCGAAAGUGUGGGUAUCAAACAGGAUUAGAUACCCUGGUAGUCCACACAGUAAACGAUGAAUACUCGCUGUUUGCGAUGUACAGUAAGCGGCCAAGCGAAAGCAUUAAGUAUUCCACCUGGGGAGUACGCCGGCAACGGUGAAACUCAAAGGAAUUGACGGGGGCCCGCACAAGCGGAGGAACAUGUGGUUUAAUUCGAUGAUACGCGAGGAACCUUACCCGGGCUUAAAUUGCAGUGGAAUGAUGUGGAAACAUGUCAGUGAGCAAUCACCGCUGUGAAGGUGCUGCAUGGUUGUCGUCAGCUCGUGCCGUGAGGUGUCGGCUUAAGUGCCAUAACGAGCGCAACCCUUAUCUUCAGUUACUAACAGGUCAUGCUGAGGACUCUGGAGAGACUGCCGUCGUAAGAUGUGAGGAAGGUGGGGAUGACGUCAAAUCAGCACGGCCCUUACGUCCGGGGCUACACACGUGUUACAAUGGGGGGUACAGAAGGCAGCUAGCGGGUGACCGUAUGCUAAUCCCAAAAUCCUCUCUCAGUUCGGAUCGAAGUCUGCAACCCGACUUCGUGAAGCUGGAUUCGCUAGUAAUCGCGCAUCAGCCACGGCGCGGUGAAUACGUUCCCGGGCCUUGUACACACCGCCCGUCAAGCCAUGGGAGCCGGGGGUACCUGAAGUACGUAACCGCAAGGAUCGUCCUAGGGUAAAACUGGUGACUGGGGCU